rnacentral:ncRNA from 1 species
GGGAGCCCGGUGCGGGAAAACUGCACGCCGGGUUCUGCUUGGGGCUGGCAGUUCAAGGUUUAGCCAAGGCUGCCUUCUACCAACCAUAAA